GUUGGCUUUGAUGAUGGGUUUCCUUAAGUGGAGACCCAGGCUCUCAAGUCUCUUACCCUGUCCUUGUAGUAAUGAAGAUCAUCUUCCAUCCAGCGUUCAACACCUACAAGAUGGACAUCGAGCCCUGCAUGAGGAAAGCUGUGAUGUCUCCAGUGCAGCGCAGCAGGAGGCUGUUUGAGAUCGUGCUGUCCCACAGGUGGGCCACGGCGGCCUACAGCCAGGGUGAGGGCAGGGUGGUCACCAUGGAGGGUGAAGUGGCUCGAGUGCUCAGCUUUGACACAGGAUCUGGGGUGACUCUUGGGCUCCAGGGUCUGAAAUCUUUGGAAGAAUUCGUUUGCAAGAUUGCAACAGCCAUGGAUCAGAGCAACAUCUUGGAAGCUUUGGCCACCAAAACAGGACACUCCAGGCCGGUGGCGGAACGCUUUACACGGAAUGGACUCCUCGCCACGGGUUUUAAGUGACUGGGGGGCAACACGCUGCCUCCCGUGCAGUUCAUUCUCCUCGGGUACUGUUCAUUCUCCUCGCUGAGGGCAGAGAGUAGCCAGGAAUGAAAUUAAGCUGAAAUGGAAUUUCGAGAAUGGUGCCAAGUUAGCAGUAAUAUAGUAAAACUACACUGAAAUUUGAGGCCUUGAAAUGUAAAUUAAAUGACAUUUCCAAAUGUGAGGGUCUGAUUUGGAGAUGUCACUGCAGUAGAAAUGUGCUCAGCGGGGGAGAGUGCCUAGCUGUGUGGCCUAGAGAAAAAUGAGCCUUCCUGCUUAGGCCUGAAGACUCUCAUAAGAAAACAAAAUCACUCUUAAUGCUCAGGGAAUCAAGUUCUGUCUCUUUAAAGCAAAUGUGGCAGGAGGUUAACAAUGAGUGUGUCUAGGUCUGUGUGUUCCGUGAGAUGGUGAUAUGGGCAGUCAUUGUACUUGUCUCAACUUUUCUCAACGUUUGAAAAAUUUCAUAAUAAAACGUUGGGAGAAUGGAAUAAACUAGAUCACCAUAAAUAAAUAAAAGUAGAACAGAUACAGUGUCCUAGAAAAUAAAAAGACAGCACUUUCAAUAAAAACACAGCUUUAUGAACAAUUCACUUCUUUUACUUUUUUUUUCCCUCAUUUUCUCAUGGAGGAACAAAAACCCUUGGGCACCCCAGUACUGAGGACGCUCUAUUCUAGAAAGAUAGCACACAGGAGAAUGUUGGUAGAGAGGAUGAGUUUGGGGCUAGACUUCUUGUCUGGAUUCUAAUGCCAGAGCCUGCUAGCUCUUGUUCACUGAGUGACCACGGACAAGUUACUUAAAUUCUGUGUGCCCCAGUUUCUUCAUCUGUAAAAACAGGGGUAGUAACAGAAUAAAGAAAGUUGGUAAUUGACAUGAGCUGAGUUCGGUUCCAAAGAUAAUUACAGGAAACCCUACCACAAGAACUCACCCUAGUCUCUGUAUACCUGUACAUCUUGGUUCAAACUUCUCUUAAAACCCUCAAACCAUAGUUCUCUGCGUGUCUGUAAGUCUUAUCUGAAUUGAUUUGGUUUCUGACUGCAAGGGAUGUUUCAUUUUUCGUUUCUUUUUUUUUUUCUCAGACACAUGACAUAACUUUUUCCUUACUCAUUGUGUGUUCGAAUGAAUCUGUGAAAUCCCAACACACCUGCCUAUGUAAGGCCACACUGACCAGAGGGAGUUUUCUCUGGGAAGCCUGUUCAGUAUUCUUCCUCACUGGUUACCUUCCACGAGAAGUUUGUCAGAGGAGCCAGGAGGCUUCUCAGGUCUCAUAAGCAUACUGCGUUUGGCACCAACACAGAAAAGUUAAUGUCCCAUAGUUUGGCUAUUGUGGACAUUGCUGCUAUAAACAAUAUA
ensembl:lincRNA